GACGAACGCUGGCGGCGUGCUUAACACAUGCAAGUCGAACGGAAAGGCCCUGCUUUUGUGGGGUGCUCGAGUGGCGAACGGGUGAGUAACACGUGAGUAACCUGCCCUUGACUUUGGGAUAACUUCAGGAAACUGGGGCUAAUACCGGAUAGGAGCUCCUGCUGCAUGGUGGGGGUUGGAAAGUUUCGGCGGUUGGGGAUGGACUCGCGGCUUAUCAGCUUGUUGGUGGGGUAGUGGCUUACCAAGGCUUUGACGGGUAGCCGGCCUGAGAGGGUGACCGGCCACGUGGGGACUGAGAUACGGCCCAGACUCCUACGGGAGGCAGCAGUGGGGAAUAUUGCACAAUGGGGGGAAGCCUGAUGCAGCAACGCCGCGGGGGGGAUGACGGCCUUCGGGUUGUAAACCGCUUGCGCCUGUGACGAAGCGUGAGUGACGGUAAUGGGUAAAGAAGCACCGGCUAACUACGUG
rnacentral:rRNA from 1 species